rnacentral:rRNA from 1 species
AGCGAUUUACUUCGGUAAAGAGCGGCGGACGGGUGAGUAACGCGUGGGUAACCUACCCUGUACACACGGAUAACAUACCGAAAGGUAUGCUAAUACGGGAUAAUAUAUUUGAGAGGCAUCUCUUGAAUAUCAAAGGUGAGCCAGUACAGGAUGGACCCGCGUCUGAUUAGCUAGUUGGUAAGGUAACGGCUUACCAAGGCGACGAUCAGUAGCCGACCUGAGAGGGUGAUCGGCCACAUUGGAACUGAGACACGGUCCAAACUCCUACGGGAGGCAGCAGGGGGGAAUAUUGCACAAUGGGCGAAAGCCUGAUGCAGCAACGCCGCGUGAGUGAUGAAGGCCUUCGGGUCGUAAAACUCUGUCCUCAAGGAAGAUAAUGACGGUACUUGAGGAGGAAGCCCCGGCUAACUACGUGCCAGCAGCCGCGGUAAUACGUAGGGGGCUAGCGUUAUCCGGAUUUACUGGGCGUAAAGGGUGCGUAGGCGGUCUUUCAAGUCAGGAGUGAAAGGCUACGGCUCAACCGUAGUAAGCUCUUGAAACUGGGAGACUUGAGUGCAGGAGAGGAGAGUGGAAUUCCUAGUGUAGCGGUGAAAUGCGUAGAUAUUAGGAGGAACACCAGUUGCGAAGGCGGCUCUCUGGACUGUAACUGACGCUGAGGCACGAAAGCGUGGGGAGCAAACAGGAUUAGAUACCCUGGUAGUCCACGCUGUAAACGAUGAGUACUAGGUGUCGGGGGUUACCCCC